GAGUUUGAUCAUGGCUCAGGAUGAACGCUAGCGACAGGCUUAACACAUGCAAGUCGAGGGGCAGCGGGGGUGCAGGCUUGCCUGCACCUGCCGGCGACCGGCGCACGGGUGAGUAACACGUAUGGAACCUGCCCGCCACAGGGGGAUAACCCGGGGAAACCCGGCCUAAUACCCCAUGCCGCCCGGACCGGGCAUCCGGACCGGGCGAAAGGAGGAAUCCGGUGGCGGCUGGGCAUGCGGCGCAUUAGCUUGACGGCGGGGUAACGGCCCACCGUGGCGACGAUGCGUAGGGGUUCUGAGAGGAAGGCCCCCCACACUGGAACUGAGACACGGUCCAGACUCCUACGGGAGGCAGCAGUGAGGAAUAUUGGUCAAUGGGCGGAAGCCUGAACCAGCCAAGUCGCGUGAGGGAAUAAGGCCCUACGGGUCGUAAACCUCUUUUGCCGGGGAGCAAGGGCCGGGACGCGUCCCGGCCCGGAGAGUACCCGGAGAAAAAGCAUCGGCUAACUCCGUGCCAGCAGCCGCGGUAAUACGGAGGAUGCGAGCGUUAUCCGGAUUUAUUGGGUUUAAAGGGUGCGUAGGCGGGCUUUUAAGUCAGCGGUAAAAAUUCGGGGCUCAACCCCGUCCGGCCGUUGAAACUGGGGGCCUUGAGUGGGCGAGAAGAAGGCGGAAUGCGUGGUGUAGCGGUGAAAUGCAUAGAUAUCACGCAGAACCCCGAUUGCGAAGGCAGCAUACCGGCGCCCUACUGACGCUGAGGCACGAAAGCGUGGGUAUCGAACAGGAUUAGAUACCCUGGUAGUCCACGCAGUAAACGAUGAAUGCUAACUGUCCGGCUCGAAUGAGCGCUGGGCGGUACAGCGAAAGCGUUAAGCAUUCCACCUGGGGAGUACGCCGGCAACGGUGAAACUCAAAGGAAUUGACGG
rnacentral:rRNA from 1 species